rnacentral:rRNA from 1 species
UACGAAGGGGGCUAGCGUUGCUCGGAAUGACUGGGCGUAAAGGGCGCGUAGGCGGUUCGGACAGUCAGAUGUGAAAUUCCUGGGCUCAACCUGGGGACUGCAUUUGAUACGUUCGGACUUGAGUGGGGAAGAGGGUCGUGGAAUUUCCAGUGUAGAGGUGAAAUUCGUAGAUAUUGGAAAGAACACCGGUGGCGAAGGCGGCGACCUGGUCCUUGACUGACGCUGAGGCGCGAAAGCGUGGGGAGCAAACAGG